GACGAACGCUGGCGGCGUGCUUAACACAUGCAAGUCGAGCGGAAAGGCCACUUCGGUGGUACUCGAGCGGCGAACGGGUGAGUAACACGUGAGUAAUCUGCCCUUGGCUUCGGGAUAGCCACCGGAAACGGUGAUUAAUACCGGAUAUGACCACUCCAGGCAUCUGGUGGUGGUGGAAAGUUUUUCGGCCAGGGAUGUGCUCGCGGCCUAUCAGCUUGAUGGUGAGGUAAUGGCUCACCAUGGCUUCGACGGGUAGCCGGCCUGAGAGGGUGACCGGUCACACUGGGACUGAGACACGGCCCAGACUCCUACGGGAGGCAGCAGUGGGGAAUAUUGGACAAUGGGCGGAAGCCUGAUCCAGCAACGCCGCGUGAGGGAUGACGGCCUUCGGGUUGUAAACCUCUUUCGCCUAUGACGAAGCGCAAGUGACGGUAAUAGGUAAAGAAGCACCGGCCAACUACGUGCCAGCCGCCGCCGUAACAC
rnacentral:rRNA from 1 species